rnacentral:misc_RNA from 1 species
GAAGAUGUAAAUACUCAAAAAAGGUCGAUGAAAAUUGAUUUAUAUCAAAUACUGGAGAAACGAUGAAUGUUUUUUUUUCGCGAAGGAGGAAAAGAAAAAAGCGAAUGAAUAAACUCAGGGUGGUAGCAUUGCCUCGAGCACGACCGCUGCGCCCCCGGACGAAGCUUCUAUUCACUAUUGUCAUGAGGACCUUGGCCAAAUGCGCUCGGAAGCAAUGGUAAUAGAAAUUAGAGACAGAAAGUGAAGAAGAAAUGUGCUUAGUUUUAGGUUAUUGUUGUCGGUUUUAAAAUGUUUUCGGGACUGAAGUAUAUUAUUAUAAUCCUAAUCACAAAGCAUACUAAUGGAAUAAAUCAUUUGUUUUCCUGAAAUAGGGUUAGGUAUUUUUUUAUCUAAUGGAGCCCAAACAAGUAAAUUUUUCUGUUAUUAAACAGAAAAUAAUCAAAACUGAUGAAAUACUUAAGAUGUACUCGGAAAGUAAUAAAAAACUUAAAAAAACACAGCAAGCCUACAAGGACUUGAAAUCCAAAUACGACGAGGUUAACAGCGGUUUCAGCCGUCUCGAGUUAGAGAAUGGUAGGUGUACCUUCAAUCUACAACAAAUUACUUCCAAGCACGACAAACUUGAAUUGGAAUGCAAACAGACAUUACAGCAAAAGGUUUUGUUGGAGCAAAAAUACAGUAGGCACAUUGUAGAGUGUCAAUCGACGAUAUUAGAAUUACAGGAUGAACUGAGAAUGAUGAAAGAACUGAGCGAGGGGGCUGAGAAACUAUCUUCGCCCCCUAGGAAGAAAGUUUCUCCUGAAAAUGAUGAUUCUUCAAAAAAAAUCAACGAAAUGGAAGAACAUAUAAAAUAUCUCAAGGAGAGUGAAGCAACAGCAAAGAAAAAACUAGAGUUGGAAAGAAAAGAGUUUGCCGAAGGCAUGAAUAAAAUCAAAGAUGAGCAUUCCAAAGUGAUACAGUUGUCACAAGGGGAAAAACUACAACUGAGUAAUGACCUAAAUAAAAUGAAGUUACAGAUUACCUCAAAUCAAAACCAUUACAAUGAAAAUCUUCAUGCCAAAGAUAAGGAAAUAAGCAAAUUAAACGCUGAAGUUUUGGCCUUGAGAGGGCUCAAGGAGCAACUGAAACAUAUCACGGAAGAAAACAAAAAACUCAAUAAUGAUAUAUUGUGUCAGAGUCGGGAACGAUGCACUGUACCUUCUAAAACUGCCCAAACUCAGACAACUGAAGAUUUCAAGUCUGUUUUAGAGGAGAACUUCACCUUGAGAAGAGAAAUCCAAUUGUAUAAAAGCCAAACCUCAAAGAGUGAAUGGACUCAAACAGAGUCACUGGAUUCGGAAGACGAGUCUCUUAUGGAUAUCCUAGAGGCAAUGGCCGGGCCCCCUAGACUUCUGUCACCCAUGAGGCAUUCUCCUUAUAGACAAUCCGAUGAUGAAGUCGCAUCAUUAGUACAACAAGUUGAAAUACCGACCAUCAUUGUCACCCCUUGUACGCCUGUGAUUAAUAAAGAGCAGAAAUUUGAAGAGUAUCCUCAGGGUUGUGAAGAAGACAAGCAGGGAUCAUUUACACCUGAAGUUUAUGAGACAAAAGCUGAAAUCAUUGAUGGCCUUUCAGUAGAAAAUAUCUGUGAUAAUAUUAUACAAAGUGAUGUAACUUCCUUGAUCGCUUUAGAAAUCAAAACUGCUGAAGAAGAGACCCAAAGCAAUGAUUGUCCUGCUGGGGUUGACAAUGAUAUUCCAACAGACAAAAGUGGAGAAAAGAAAAUCCUUGCUUGUGACCUUGACGAAAAUCAUCUAACGGAUGAUAGUAGUGAAGAUCAACAAAACCAGGUAAACCAAAAUGUGAAUCAACCAAAUAUUGAAACUUUCAAAGAAGUUGAGCACCAACCUUUGAAAAUUGAUCCUGACAUUAUAGACUCGAAAUUACAAACGCCUGCUGAAUCUGUGGAAAGUAACAAUCACAAAUGGAAAUCUAAAAUACCUGGAAGGCGCAAGUAUAGACAUUGGCCUAAUCUGAAUGGUUAUGUAAAACUUCAUCGAGGAAAACCACCCUUGAACAAAAAAGAAACAAGAAGAAAAUUAGGGGCAAAGAAAUACCACAGAAAAGAUUGUGUGCUUAGGGCUUUACAGGUGUUGAAACGCUCUAAAAUCAACUUCACGAUCUCGAACGAGUCCACCGUACCGCUGCAAUGGAGAGACUACAAUUUUUUGAACAGGUUUGAGAAUGGGGAACGAGUUGGCAGUCCGAAGCAGAAUGUAAACCAUUCAAUUCGAAAGCUGAGUUGCCCUUCGAAGAUCUGCAGGAGCGCCUGCAUGUCCUUGGAUGGCAGUUCCUGCCCAGCAAAGCUAUUGGGCUUCUUUGACGUGAAGCAGGAAUCCGUCACCCCGCUCGGCGGAGAACCUUUGGAUAAGAAACCUGGCACUCCGCUGCGAUGGUUGAAUAACUUACCGAUUAGCGAAGUAACCUCGGAGAAUAUUCUUGAUAGGCUCGCAGAACUUGUGAGCGAGAAGCUGAAGAAUGACAAAAAUUUAAAAAGGAAACGAACCACUUGCUUGCCCCAAGACUCCGAAUUCUGCUCUGAAACAGAGACGGAGCUAGAGCGGUUGAUCGAAGAGCCCAGUUGUGACGUGCUCGAGAGGAACAAGAUGCUCCUGAAGAAGGCCAAGUAUGAUCUCAGCAGGGAAAAGACUUCCCAAAAUAGUUUGGAAGGAAAUGAUGCAAAAAGUAAUAUCGAAACUUCUGUAUUCACUGAUAGAUAUCUGAAAAAUCAGCACUUGAAAGCAGAAACUGUUUAUCCUAACGUGAUGAGCCCAAUGAACCCAAAACAGAAGAGUCCUAUGGCACAUUCCGGCGCCAAAUCUGUCGUUAGAUCACCCUUUAAUGAAUCUUUUCCACAAGAAGAUCCAACCACAGUUACUUCUGAUGUUUCUGAGGAAAUUAGUGAUAUCGAAGACAGUACAGAUUUUUGCAAAUUCUCCCCCGUUCCAAUUCUCCUGAGCCCCAUAAAAUCCAGCCCUGAAAGUAGUCCAAAAACCGAUGCUUUCACGAUAUCCCCUCGGAACAAGGAAAUCAAUUUCAAGAGUUCAGAUAAAUCUAAACUUUCAAAUACUUGCAAGCUAAAACAUUCGUCCGACCUACUUUCUACAGUAAGGAAGAUAGAUAAAUUGAAUGAACCUCUUUUCACAGGCCUCAGUAGCACUCUAGACAUUGGGAUUGAAGCAAAGGAAGAGAGCUCAGAAGCAAAUUGUAAACUGAAAACUGGUGCCCCAGCUGUAGGAGUCUCUAAUUCGACACCUUUCAAUGUUUCAAAGCAAAGGGACUUGGAAAAAAUGGGGUGUUCUAGUAUAGUUGGUUUAUUUGCUGAUAAAAAUACCAAGAAAGAGACUUCUAGUCUAAUUUCGCAACCACAGAGUCCAGUAUUGUAUUCAGAUUCAAGAUUUUCUUCACAUACCAAACCAUUCAGAGAGAUAAUUCCAGGAAAAAGCCCUGAUCCGGAUAAUACAUUUUCAACUACUUCAAACUGUUCGAGAUCUUUUGAACUUCUGGAUUCUUUGAAAUUACUUCAAAACUUGGAUGAAAUUAAUCAACAAAAACCUUGUAAAAAUAUUCGUAGGAGUAUUUCCGAAGAAAACUCCUCGCUUCCUAGCUGUUGCAAUCCAAAAGAGAAUAUCUCUAACAAAUCAUCAGAACUUGAAGAAUUAGAACCUGUUUGCGCUGCAAAUGAAAUGGAGAAAUCCAAAAGAGAUGAUUUGAAACAAUCUCCACUCAGCUCAGAUGACUCUGAUCCAUCAACGAGUUUUCAUUGCAUGGAAACUCAAGAACUAGAUAGAGAAACAAACUAUAUGAAUUUCACUCCGAGAAUUCUACAAAAAAUUGAAAAUAAUUCAGCCAAUUCAAAUGCCGUAAACAAUUUGAAUACAAGUUCUUGUAUCAGCAAAUUUCUAUCUAAUGAGAAGGAGAUGACCAAAGAAAUUGAUAGGUUUAUGACCAGAUUUCAGCUGAAUCAGAGUUUGACUGAAACUCAGUCUUUUCAGCAAGAGAGGUCAAGUGACACAAUUCUAACAGCAAGUGAUAUAUUGAACAUCAUGUCGUAUUCAGAAAAUGCCCAAAAGUCCCAAGAACCAUUAGACUUCAGUAAUUCGAAAAAUUUGGAAGAGUUAAAUGUUACAACAUUAAAUGAUGAGGAAGAACGGUUAAGUCGUCUUCAAUCAUCAGAAGAAAAAUCCAGAUUCGGUUAUGCCAGCUCUCCAAAUAAACACCUUUCGAGUUCACAGCAAUUUAAAAAGGAAGUGUCAGAUUGUUCUGUGUCGCUAGAAGAAAACUACCGGAAUCCUAUAAAACUUGAAGAAGAAAUUCAUAACUGGCCUGAGGCUCCAGAGAAUAUUCAACCAAGUCCCGUUAAAUUCGAGGAAGAAGAAGAGGAAAUUCAUAACUGGCCUGAGUCUCCAGAGAAUAUUCAACCAAGUCCCGUUAAAAUCGAGGAAGAAGAAGAAGAAAUUCAUAACUGGCCUGACUCUCCAGAGAAUAUUCAACCAAGUCCCGUUAAAUUCGAGGAAGAAGAAGUUCUAAGUUGUCCUCAGUCCCCGGACGUUUGCCCAGCUCCACUGCUCUCUAUUGCCACAAAAAUUAUACCUCUUGAAAGAGUCGUUGACGUCGCAGUCAGGAAAAAGAAAACAAAGAUGAAUUUAAGGAGGUCAAGGCGGCUAAGCAAGGCCAUAAUUUCGUCCAGCUCUGAGCAUGAAUCUGAGGAGGAAAUUUGUGAAAGGCUGAGAGUAAGUGAAACAAUUUCCAACGAACCCACAGAAGCAGCGGUCACAAGGAUUCGGAGAAAAUCUUUGUUGAAGGAAACCGGUCCUCCUGAAAAAGUAGUUCGUAAAAGGGGGAGGCCGAAGAAAUAUCUGCUCAAGCAACCGCCAGAGGAAUUGGAAUCUAAACAGAGUCGUAUAGAAAGCGAUCCUCCUGAAGACAUUGACAAAGAGAAGACUGAAGUUCCUGAUGCCAAUGAAGGAAACGGAAUCAAUAGCGAAUCUACCCAACUAUCGCCGAUGGAAACCAAGAAGGUAGUUAAAAAGAAACAAAAAAUGAGUAAGCUCAAAGCAAAUGUAAUGAGACAGAUGAAACAGAAACAACAAAUGUACCAGUCUGACAAACCUGCAGCUAAUUUUGACUGCAGGCUGGAGACCCAUGUUAAAAAAAAUGAUGCAAUAGAAGCAAGUGUAGGAAAUGAGAAUGAAACAGUUCCUGCAGAACCUAGCAAUAGUCAAAACAAAGUCAGUAGCGGUAUAUUGAAGAAAAUCAAUAUUGUUCAAAAUAUUCUCAUACAAGCAGGACACGGUGCUCCCUCUGUGGACUUACAAGGAAGAUAUAUUGGCGAUUCAAAUCCACAACAAAAAUCGUCUGAAACCAUUAAGGAAAAACCUACAAAGAAGUGUGUGAGAUCAGAAAGUUGCGAUAUUUUAUCCCAAAUAAUGUGCGACAUGGACAAGGGUAGGCCGAAAUGUGUCCCGAAACCUAGCGCCCCAAAGAAAAAUCUACCUCAGGAUUUGGUAGACAAGCAGUGGAGGAAAGGUAUUCUGGACGUUGCCGAGAUAAUGUACAAUAGGGAAGCGAAUUGGGAUGAAACCUAUGGUUUGCAGUACUGCAACGAUAAGAACAAUGUUGGUAUUUUGAAACGAGGAAUGACCCUGCCAAAAAAUGAACCACCUUUACUUUCUAGUAAGAAUUCGAGUGUUGCUGAAGAAAUUGAUGGAAACUACCAAUGAAAAUGAAAUUCCUCAUCAUGUCAUAGCAGAGUUCAAGAAGAUGAAGAUCGAAAUUAUUGUGGACAUUAUUAUACAUGAAGUUUCGAAAGACUUCUGCGAAAAGCCCGACACCAAACACUUUCCAGCUCCUCUGAUGACCAAGACACAAAGA